UUCCCCUAGUAACGGCGAGUGAAGCGGGAAAAGCUCAAAUUUGAAAUCUGGCGGUCUACGGCCGUCCGAGUUGUAGUCUAGAGAGGUGUCUUCUGCGUCGGACCAUGCACAAGUCCCUUGGAACAGGGCGUCAUAGAGGGUGAGAAUCCCGUCCGUGGCAUGGACUCCCGGUGCUUUGUGAUGCGCCUUCGAAGAGUCGAGUUGUUUGGGAAUGCAGCUCAAAAUGGGUGGUAAAUUCCAUCUAAAGCUAAAUACAGGCGAGAGACCGAUAGCGAACAAGUACCGUGAGGGAAAGAUGAAAAGCACUUUGGAAAGAGAGUUAAACAGUACGUGAAAUUGUUGAAAGGGAAACGCUUGGAGUCAGUCGCGUUUGCCGGGACUCAGCCUUGCUUCUGCUUGGUGCACUUCCUGGUACACGGGCCAGCAUCGAUUUUGAUCGCCGGAAAAAGGCUUGGGGAAGGUGGCACCUUCGGGUGUGUUAUAGCCCCUUGUUGUAUACGGUGGUUGGGAUUGAGGACCGCAGCACGCCUUUUGGUCGGGGUUCGCCCACGCCACGUGCUUAGGAUGCUGGCGUAAUGGCUUUAAACGACCCGUCUUGAAACACGGACCAAGGAGUCUAACAUGCCUGCGAGUGUUUGGGUGUAAAACCCAGGCGCGUAAUGAAAGUGAAAGGUUGGGACUCUUCGCUGAGGCACCGACGCCCGAUCCUGACGUUCUCUGACGGAUUUGAGGUAGAGCAUGUAUGUUGGGACCCGAAAGAUGGUGAACUAUGCCUGAAUAGGGCGAAGCCAGAGGCACCUCCGGUGGAGGCUCGUAGCGAUUCUCACGCGCAAACCGAUCGCCAAAUUCGGGCAUAGGGGCGAAAGAC
rnacentral:rRNA from 1 species